rnacentral:tRNA from 1 species
GGGGAAUUAGCUCAAAUGGUAGAGCGCUCGCUUCGCAUGCGAGAGGUAGCGUGAUUGAUGCCUGCAUUCUCCA